AUUCCAUGAUGGAGGCACUUUCGUAAUAAUUAUUUGUACCUUUCCCAUGCCUCAUACAAGGACUCAUCAUCCAUUUGUUGGAAAGUAGUGAUCUCGUUCCUCAACUU
rfam:Gossypium arboreum cultivar AKA8401 contig_27769_1, whole genome shotgun sequence.